rnacentral:rRNA from 1 species
CAGCCGCGGUAAUCCAGCUCCAAUAGCGUAUAUUAAAGUUGUUGCAGUUAAAAAGCUCGUAGUUGAACUUCGGGGUUUACCCAUUGGUCAGGCUUAAUUGUCUGUACUGGUGAGAUAAAUCUCUACCUUCUGAGGAACUUUCAUGUCAUUAAUUUGGUGUGAUUGGAAAUCAGGACUGUUACUUUGAAAAAAUUAGAGUGUUUAAAGCAGGCUAACGUCUGAAUACAUUAGCAUGGAAUAAUGAAAUAGGACGGCUUGAUUCUAUUUCGUUGGUUUCUAGGAUCACCGUAAUGAUUAAUAGGGAUAGUUGGGGGCAUUAGUAUUCAAUUGUCAGAGGUGAAAUUCUUGGAUUUAUUGAAGACUAACUACUGCGAAAGCAUUUGCCAAGGAUGUUUUCAUUAAUCAAGAACGAAAGUUAGGGGAUCGAAGACGAUCAGAUACCGUCGUAGUCUUAACCAUAAACUAUGCCGACUAGGGAUCGGACGAAGUUAAUUUUAUAAUGACGCGUUCGGCACCUUAC